UACGUAGGGUGCAAGCGUUGUCCGGAAUCAUUGGGCGUAAAGCGCGCGUAGGUGGCCUCAUAAGUCCGCUGUGAAAGUCAAAGGCUCAACCUUUGAAAGCCGGUGGAUACUGUGAGGCUAGAGUACGGAAGAGGCGAGUGGAAUUCCUGGUGUAGCGGUGGAAUGCGCAGAUAUCAGGAGGAACACCAAUAGCGAAGGCAGCUCGCUGGGACGUUACUGACACUGAGACGCGAAAGCGUGGGGAGCGAACAGG
rnacentral:rRNA from 1 species